rnacentral:rRNA from 1 species
GCUUCCUGGCGGCGACCGGCGCACGGGUGCGUAACAGGUGUGCAAUCUGUCCUAUACCGGGGCAUAGCCCAGCGAAAGUUUGGAUUAAUUCUCCAUGUGAAACGAAGCCGCAUGACUUUGUUUUGAAACGUAAGGGUAUAGGGUGAGCACGCUUCUGAUUAGAUAGUUGGUGGGGUAACGGCUCACCAAGUCGACGAUCAGUAGGGGUUCUGAGAGGAAGGUCCCCCACAUUGGAACUGAGACACGGUCCAAACUCCUACGGGAGGCAGCAGUGAGGAAUAUUGGUCAAUGGGCGAGAGCCUGAACCAGCCAAGUCGCGUGAAGGAUGAAGGUUCUAUGGAUUGUAAACUUCUUUUGUCCGAGGGUAAAAAAGGUCACGUGUGACCUCUUGCAAGUAUCGGACGAAUAAGCAUCGGCUAACUCCGUGCCAGCCGCGGC